UACGAAGGGUGCGAGCGUUGUUCGGAAUUACUGGGCGUAAAGGGUUUGUAGGCUGAAAUGUAAGUCAAGUGUGAAAUCCCCGAGCUAAACUUGGGACGUGCAUUUGAAACUGCGUUUCUUGAGUAUCGUAGAGGGUGGUGGAAUUGUAGGUGUAGGAGUGACAUCCGUAGAGAUCUGCAGGAACAUCAGAGGCGAAGGCGACCACCUGGCCGAUAACUGACGCUGAGGAACGAAAGCGUGGGGAGCAAACAGGGA
rnacentral:rRNA from 1 species